CUUCACAGUAUAGUGAAUAAGGUAAAGUGUCUCCGGUGGACACCAAAAUUCACUAAACUGGCCAUAAAUCAUAAUUCUCAUGAGUGUAAAACUAAUCAGCGAUUCUAGAGAUUCUCAUUGUACCAUGACGUGUCUGUUAUGGAGAAUUUUACUUGUUGCCAAAAUUACAUUGUAAAAUCUUAAACGAGAAGUUGUUUUCAUUUAAUUAGAGUUGGAAUAUUGGUAUUUCCC